AUGGAUCGAAUGCAUCCUUACAUUAGCAGAUUCCCGUCGUUGCAUUUCUAUGAAAACAAACUGCUGGAUGGUGCUCAGAAGGCUGAGAAAUCAGAUCCUUUCCAUGAUCACCGUUGUCUUGGUCCAUACAUGUUCUUUGAUAUUGCCGAUGGUCGUGAGCAUGCUGGAACAAGUGCUGCUGCACAAUCACUCUCUAAUCAAUUUGAAGCUGGUGCAGCACUUGAAAUACUGUCAUUUUUAAAGAACAAAUAUCCAACAGAUUUCUCCUGUAGAAAGAUAGGGACCAUAACUUAUGGCUAUGUUGGGGAAGAGUUCUUGCGGGUGUGA
rnacentral:rRNA from 1 species